ensembl:lncRNA
AGACGAUGGUUCACCUGCUGCUCGGUCUGUGGCUUUCUGUCAGAUUCAGAGUAAUAGAAGAGUCGGAGAAAGCUGAGAGCGACGAGUCGAAACACUCAGGAGACACACAGGAGAGUUUGGGAGGCGAUGCAGCAGUAUCAAGCCGAAGACAAGAGGAUAUGAACUAGACGACAUAUGAGGAUGCUCUCUGAUGAGACUUCAUGGGAUUUACCUGAAGCAGCAGCACAUGAGCCUGCAGUGGCACAAGGUGUAGAGAAGGAGGACAGAGAUGUACAGGAUGCACUGAUGCACUACGUGUCAUGUAAAAGUUAUUCUUCUUGUUAUACUUCUGUUUUUCUGUCCCCGGACACUAUUGUUUUCUUUAUAAUAUAAAUAAUAUAAUGUAUAAUGUGUCUCUUAAGAUGCUGUCCUAGUUUUCUCAAAAAAUUUAGCUUUUUUCCACUUUUUCUGUUUUUCUACAGUAGAAGAGUCAACACACACACACAUUUCAGCCUGAUGGAACAGUCCACCUUCCAUCAAUUAAUCAUCAGCCCUUUCAUCUUUAAUUAAACUCACCGUCUUUAAA